rnacentral:hammerhead_ribozyme from 1 species
AUCCAGCUGAUGAGUCCUAAAUAGAACGAAACGUUCUUCCUAGAA